GCAUAGCAAUAAGCGGAGGAAAAGAAACCAACAGGGAUUGCCUCAGUAGCGGCGAGUGAAGCGGCAAAAGCUCAAAUUUGAAAUCUGGCGUCUUUGGCGUCCGAGUUGUAAUUUGAAGAAGGUAUCUUUGGGCCCGGCUCUUGUCUAUGUUCCUUGGAACAGGACGUCACAGAGGGUGAGAAUCCCGUGCGAUGAGAUGACCCGGGUCUGUGUAAAGUUCCUUCGACGAGUCGAGUUGUUUGGGAAUGCAGCUCUAAGUGGGUGGUAAAUUCCAUCUAAAGCUAAAUAUUGGCGAGAGACCGAUAGCGAACAAGUACAGUGAUGGAAAGAUGAAAAGAACUUUGAAAAGAGAGUGAAAAAGUACGUGAAAUUGUUGAAAGGGAAGGGCUUGAGAUCAGACUUGGUAUUUUGCAUGUUGCUCUCUCGGGGGCGGCCGCUGCGGUUUACCGGGCCAGCAUCGGUUUGGAGCGGCAGGAUAAUGGCGGAGGAAUGUGGCACGGCUUCUGCUGUGUGUUAUAGCCUCUGACGAUACUGCCAGCCUAGACCGAGGACUGCGGUUUUUACCUAGGAUGUUGGCAUAAUGAUCUUAAGUCGCCCGUCUUGAAACACGGACC
rnacentral:rRNA from 1 species